rnacentral:misc_RNA from 1 species
AAUCCGAGAAUUUCACCUCUGACGCCGGAAUACAAAUGCCCCCAACCGUCCCUCUUAAUCAUUACCCGGUCCUCACAAACCAAUAAAACAGAACACAGGUCCUAUUCUAUUAUUCCAUGCUAAGGUAUUCAUGGCAAACGCCCGCUUUGAACACUCUAAUUUUUUCACAGUAAACGGUGGCAGCGACAACGAGCCCGCACUCAAGCGGAUCCGUGCCCCCCUCCACAAAGGCGGCCGACCCAGGUCCGUCCGCGAAGACGCCCCGUCUCGCCCGCCAACCUCCGACUACGAGCGUUUUAACUGCAACAACUUGGGUAUACGCUUACAGAGCUGGAAUUACCGCG